rnacentral:rRNA from 1 species
UACGGAGGGUGCAAGCGUUAUCCGGAUUCACUGGGCUUAAAGGGUGCGUAGGUGGGUUGCCAAGUCCGUGGUGAAAUCUCCGAGCUUAACUCGGAAACUGCCGUGGAUACUGGUAAUCUUGAAUAUCGUGGAGGUAAGCGGAAUAUGUCAUAUAGCGGUGAAAUGCUUAGAUAUGACAUAGAACACCAAUUGCGAAGGCAGCUCACUACGGGAUUAUUGACACUGAGGCACGAAAGCGUGGGGAGCAAACAGG